AAAAAUGACCCAACUUCUGAACACGUCCGAUCCCAUCUGAUCUCAGAAGCUAAGCAGGGUCGGGCCUGGUUAGUACUUGGAUGGGAGACCACUUAAGUCCAGGUGCCAUAGGUG
rnacentral:rRNA from 1 species